CAGGACAAAUUCUGGAACAAUUGGUUAUUUUAAGAAAUCAGUAAAUCAGCAUCUUGUGUCCUGAGUGGUGCAUUCUUUGGAAAAAGUUACUGUGUCAGGAAUUCACACAAAUUAGUGUGUUUAUUUUGAAUGCAUGCCAUCAUGCUGAAGAGUUCGACUGCUCGCCAUGACAUGUGCUGACCAUCAGGG